GGACACAACUCGUCUUUGCUUUCUAUCCUUUCCGUUUGAUUAGACAUCUUGGCAUCUGGAUAACCUCAUCAUCAGAAAAUCCUGGAAGAGAUGGGAAUGGAGGAUAAGGCCAAAACCCCAGAGUGUUGUUGGUACAGGAAAGGGCUUCAGUUUGGAUUGGCAGGCCCAGGAUGAGGAUUUUCUUCUGCGCUUCUGUGCUGAGGCCUCACCUGCUCCCAGGAGACAACGGGCCACACAGCACAGGAGCCAUGCGGCCAUGGUUGCACCCAGAGGCAAAAGGCUGAGGGUGUUUCAGUCCUCAUCAGCAGCCUCCCUGUGACGUGACUGCCUGGAAGACUCAGACUUCAUGCGAUUGACCCAUGUGCCUGGCAAAACACUUCCUGGUACCAGAAGGAGAGCUUUUAGCAUCACUCAGGGCACAACUCAUCUUUGCUUGCUGUCCUUUCCAUUGGACCAGAUGUCUUGGUUUCUGGGUAACUUCAUCAUCAGAAAAGCCUGGAAGAGAAAGACACAGAAGGUAAGGCCCAGGCCAAGAGUGCUGCUGAUACAGAAGAGGGUUUGGGUUUGGAUUGUCGGGCCCUGGAUGAGAGUUUUCUUCUGUGCUUCUGUGCUCAGGCUUAACCUGCUCCCUGGAGACAAAAGGUCACACAGCAGAGGAGCCAUGUGGCCAUGGUUGCACCCAGUGGCAAAAGGCUGAGGCUAUUUCAGUCCUCAUCAGCAGCCUCCCUGUGAUGUGACUUUUGGCAGACUCAGUCUUCAUGGGAUUGAGUCAUGUUCCUGGCAACACACUUCCUGAAAUCAGAAGGAGAGCUUUUAUCUUCACUCAGUAAAUAUACCUGGUGUAUAUCUCAUUUUUUUGCAAUAAUUUAUAACCCUUUCUACUACUAUAAACAAUGUGUCUCUGUGUAUAUAUAUAUGUAUAUAUAUAACAUUUUUAAAAUUAUGAAAUAAAAUAACAAAAUAAUAAUUGUACUGAUGAACAAUAAUUACCCUGUAUAUCAAUUAUCCCACCUCUUUAAAGAGAUCGCCCUCAUCUCUCUUUCCUCCCAUCUCUCACAUUUCUUGCUAUAUUCAGGUAUCAUUUAUUUUUUCACUGAUCUGUCUUCCACAUCUUUGUGAUAACCACUGACGAAAUCCUGGGAGAGAGUGAGGGAGACUGGAUUUUCUAAUACCCCUAGAUCACUGCACCGUCCACAGUCUAGGGCAUUGGAUGUCACAGGGGUUUUGAGGUUACAGAAGUAAGCCUUACGCACCUGUGUACAAGAAUGGAAAUUAUAGCACAAAUCUGAAGAGCCCUCAGGAGAUCUUUAGGCACAUAAAAUAAAAUGCAUAGGUGGUACUCAGUGUCUCAACAGUUACCUCUAUCCAUGAUAUAGACAUAUAAUCCUACAUUGAUUAUUCAGGUCCGUAAACACCUAUGUCCAAGUGACUUGAGCACCAAAAGGCAAUUGAAAGACAUUGAGGUGCCUUUUCAGGAGAAGGGGGCAUGGAGUAUUGUUUUGCACUUAGAAGUCACAGACUGGUUGUACACAAAGAAACAUGGAAAUUUUCAUUUAUUGUGAGCUGAAUGGAAACAUCUAAGAGGUAGAAUUUCAUCUAUAAUAAAAUAACACAUGUGUAAUUUUAAACAUAAAUACAUAACUAGAGUUCAGUGCUCCAGGAAAAGGGCAUAGCUGGGUCAUGUGUCAUUGAUUGUCUCUCUCAAAGAGUGUAAGAACAUAAACUGAUCUUUAUCACAGUCGUGUGGUUCUUAACUCAUUACGAAGAUUUGGACAAAAAGACAAAGAGAACAUGCAGGAGAGCAAAUGAGAAGGGAGACAAAGAAGAGGGAGUUCUGCAGAGGAAGAAACCCUAGGCCCUGGCCCAGGGUGUCCUCUAUCAGAAUCUUCAACCCACCACCAAUUCUUGACUUUUCAACACCCGUCAGCUGUGUGAGAAACUCCACUGCUGUGAGCCAGCUCCAGUUCAUUUCUGUUACUUCCUCCCAACCCAACUCGCCAGCUGCUUCCUGAGUUGGGUCUAUGGGGUUUGUGCACUCAGAGGAAGGAACAUUUCAGCACUGUGGACUGACUGCUAGCACAGAGGUACAGGGCUGAGUCUUCUAGUUCAGAUGACUUGAUUUCCAGGCUGCAGGGUGAGUCUUGGGGAUAUUCAGCUGAGAAUCGGUCCUUGAACAUAUCUGUUUGAUCAAGAAUUUCUUUGUUCCCAAAAUAAGCCAAAAACUUCAACCCUUCAUUCUGCUUUUGUUGAUACCAGUAAAGAGCAGUAUGUCCUUUUUUAGGGACACAACUCAUCUUCGCUAGCUGUCCUUUCCAUUUGAUCAGAUGUCGUGGUGUCUGGGUAACUUCGUCAUCAGAAAAGCCUGGAAGAGAAGGAAAGAUAAAGUAGGGUUGAAGUCCGGGAGUGUUACUGAGACAGAUAAGAGUUAGGAUUUGGACUGUCAAGCCCUGGAUGAGGGUUUUCUUCUGUGCUUCUAUGCUCAGGCCUCACCUGCUCCCAGAAGACACAGGGCCACACAGCAGAGGAAACAAGUGGCCAUGGUCACAUCCAAGUGACAAAAGGCUGAGGCUGUUUCAGUCCUCAUAGGCAGCCUGCCUCUGACGUGACUGCUCGACAGACUGUCUUCAUGGGACUGAUUCAUGUGCCUGGCAACACACUUCCUGGUACCGGAAAGAGAGCUUUUUGCUUCACUCAGUAAAUAUACCUGGUUUAUAUCUCAUUUAUGUACACUAAUUUAUCACCAUUUUACUUCUAUAAGCACUGUGUAUACAUAUAUAUACAUAUAAUGCAUAAAUAUCUAUUGUAUUUAUGAAGUUAUAAAAUGGAAUAAAAAAAU
ensembl:lincRNA